rnacentral:lncRNA from 1 species
UGAAAAAAAAAGUUCAGAAUUUUUGUAAUGUUGAAUCCUCUCUUAUUAUAAGUAAUAGGAUAACUAUAUUUGGUAUGUGCGUACCUUGCAAGGUCUUCAUGCCCGUCAGACAGUUUUCACUUGACCUCGACCUCAUUUCAUGGAUCAGUGAACAAGGUUAAGUUUUGGUGGUCAAGUCCAUAUCUCAGAUACUAUAAGCAAUAGGGCUAGUAUAUUCGGUGUAUGGAAGGACUGUUAGGUGUACAUGUCCAACUGGCAGGUGUCAUCUGACCUUGACCUCAAUUUCAUGGUUCAGUGGUUAUAGUUAAGUUUUUGUGUUUUGGUCUAUUUUUCCCAUACUUUGUGCAAUAAGUCUACUAUAUUUGUUGUAUGGAAUGAUUGUAAGGUGUACAUGUCUAGCGGGCAGAUGUCAUCUGACCUUGACCUCAUUUUCAUGGUUCAGUGGUCAAAGUUAAGUUUUUGAGUUUUGGUCUUUUUAUCUAAUAUUAUAUGCCAAAGGUCAACUAUAUUUGGUGUAUGGAAAUAUUUUAUGAUCUAUAUGUAAGUCCCGCAGGUUUUAUUUGACCAUGACCUCAAUUUCACGGUUCAUUGCACAGUGUUAAGUUUUUUGUGUUUUGGUCUGUUUUUCUUAAACUAUAAGUAAUAGGUCAACUAUAUUUAUUGUAUGGAAGCAUUUUUAGCUGUACAUGUCUGCCUGGCAUGGUUCAUCUGACCUUGACCUCAUUUUCAUGGUUCAUUUGUCUAUGUUUAGCUAUCUUGGUUUAUGUUAAGUUUAUGUGGCAGUUGUUAAAGCUUUAUACUUAGGACUAUCAACAUAAUAUCAAUGAUUAGUAAAGAAGGCGAGAC